AAACCAUGAUAAAGGCACUGCUGUUGUAAAUCCUUAAACCUCUUCCAAGUUUCAUAUAAAGACUCAUCAUCCCUUUGGUAAAAAGAGCAAUUUCAUUUCUCAAUUU